UUAGCUCAGCUGGUAGAGCAGCGGACUUUUAAUCCGUUGGUCGAUGGUUCGAAUCC
rnacentral:tRNA from 1 species